rnacentral:rRNA from 1 species
GUUGGUGUUUCAAACGCAAAGGGUACACCCGUUCCCAUUCCGAACACGGUAGUUAAGCUUUGCAGUGCUGAAAAUACUCGGUCGGAGACGACCCGGGAAGAUAGGUCAAUGCCAACA